GACGAACGCUGGCGGCGUGCUUAACACAUGCAAGUCGAACGGAAAGGCCCUGCUUUUGUGGGGUGCUCGAGUGGCGAACGGGUGAGUAACACGUGAGUAACCUGCCCUUGACUUUGGGAUAACUUCAGGGAACUGGGGCUAAUACCGGAUAGGAGCUCCUGCUGCAUGGUGGGGGUUGGAAAGUUUCGGCGGUUGGGGAUGGACUCGCGGCUUGUCAGCUUGUUGGUGGGGUAGUGGCUUACCAAGGCUUUGACGGGUAGCCGGCCUGAGAGGGCGACCGGCCACAUUGGGACUGAGAUACGGCCCAGACUCCUACGGGAGGCAGCAGUGGGGAAUAUUGCACAAUGGGCGGAAGCCUGAUGCAGCAACGCCGCGUGCGGGAUGACGGCCUUCGGGCUGUAAACCGCUUUCGCCUGUGACGAAGCGUGAGUGACGGUAAUGGGUAAAGAAGCACCGGCUAACUACGUG
rnacentral:rRNA from 1 species